AGUCGACGGGAUCCAUCAAGCUUGCUUGGUGGUGAGAGUGGCGAACGGGUGAGUAAUGCGUGACCGACCUGCCCCAUGCUCCGGAAUAGCUCCUGGAAACGGGUGGUAAUGCCGGAUGUUCCACAUGAUCGCAUGUGAUUGUGGGAAAGAUUCUAUCGGCGUGGGAUGGGGUCGCGUCCUAUCAGCUUGUUGGUGAGGUAACGGCUCACCAAGGCUUCGACGGGUAGCCGGCCUGAGAGGGCGACCGGCCACAUUGGGACUGAGAUACGGCCCAGACUCCUACGGGAGGCAGCAGUGGGGAAUAUUGCACAAUGGGCGCAAGCCUGAUGCAGCGACGCCGCGUGAGGGAUGGAGGCCUUCGGGUUGUAAACCUCUUUUGUUUGGGAGCAAGCCUUCGGGUGAGUGUACCUUUCGAAUAAGCGCCGGCUAACUACGUGCCAGCAGCCGCGGUAAUACGUAGGGCGCAAGCGUUAUCCGGAUUUAUUGGGCGUAAAGGGCUCGUAGGCGGCUCGUCGCGUCCGGUGUGAAAGUCCAUCGCUUAACGGUGGAUCUGCGCCGGGUACGGGCGGGCUGGAGUGCGGUAGGGGAGACUGGAAUUCCCGGUGUAACGGUGGAAUGUGUAGAUAUCGGGAAGAACACCGAUGGCGAAGGCAGGUCUCUGGGCCGUCACUGACGCUGAGGAGCGAAAGCGUGGGGAGCGAACAGGAUUAGAUACCCUGGUAGUCCACGCCGUAAACGGUGGACGCUGGAU
rnacentral:rRNA from 1 species